UACGUAGGUGGCGAGCGUUGUCCGGAAUUACUGGGCGUAAAGGGCGCGUAGGCGGCUUUUUAAGUUAGAUGUGAAAACCCGGGGCUUAACUUCGGACGUGCAUUUAAAACUGGAGAGCUUGAGUGCAGGAGAGGUAAGUGGAAUUCCUAGUGUAGCGGUGAAAUGCGUAGAUAUUAGGAGGAACACCAGUGGCGAAGGCGACUUACUGGACUGUAACUGACGCUGAGGCGCGAAAGCGUGGGGAGCAAACAGGAUUAGAUACCCUGGUAGUCCACGCUGUAAACGAUGGAUACUAGGUGUGGGAGGUAUCGACCCCUUCCGUGCCGCAGUUAACGCAAUAAGUAUCCCGCCUGGGGAGUACGGCCGCAAGGUUGAA
rnacentral:rRNA from 1 species